AGGCUGCAGUCGAGAUCAUUCGCAAUGGGCGAAGCCUGACGAUGCGACGCCGUGUGUAUGAUGAAGGCCUUCGGGUCGUAAAGUACUUUCGCCUGGGAACAAGAGAGGCUGGCUAAUAUCCAGCUAAUUUGAGGGUACCAGGUAAAGAAGCACCGGCUAACUCC
rnacentral:rRNA from 1 species